AAGAAGGUCUUCGGGUUGUAAAGCUCUUUUGUCAGGGAAGAAACGGUAACACCUAAUACGGGUUACUAAUGACGGUACCUGAAGAAUAAGCACCGGCUAACUACGUGC
rnacentral:rRNA from 1 species